UCUUUUAAUGUAGAAAGCUAAUGCUCUGCAAAUGUCUGUGCGGAUGCAUCCCUUCCAUCUGCAUGUGGUUUUGGAAAAAACACAGGCCGUCUCAACAACCACCUUGAAGAACCUGCACAAGAUUACCCAGAAUUCAUUGUUUUGCCCCAAGAGUCAGGAUGACCCCAAUGGUUCCUUUCCUAGUGUGCUGGCUCCAGGU